rnacentral:rRNA from 1 species
CGAACGCUGGCGGCGUGCCUAAUACAUGCAAGUAGAACGCUGAAGGAGGAGCUUGCUCUUCUGGAUGAGUUGCGAACGGGUGAGUAACGCGUAGGUAACCUGCCUGGUAGCGGGGGAUAACUAUUGGAAACGAUAGCUAAUACCGCAUAAAAUUGAUUAUUGCAUGAUAGUCAAUUAAAAGGUGCAAUUGCAUCACUACCAGAUGGACCUGCGUUGUAUUAGCUAGUUGGUGAGGUAACGGCUCACCAAGGCAACGAUACAUAGCCGACCUGAGAGGGUGAUCGGCCACACUGGGACUGAGACACGGCCCAGACUCCUACGGGAGGCAGCAGUAGGGAAUCUUCGGCAAUGGACGGAAGUCUGACCGAGCAACGCCGCGUGAGUGAAGAAGGUUUUCGGAUCGUAAAGCUCUGUUGUAAGAGAAGAACGAGUGUGAGAGUGGAAAGUUCACACUGUGACGGUAUCUUACCAGAAAGGGACGGCUAACUACGUG